rnacentral:tRNA from 1 species
GGGCCCUUCGCCAAGUGGUAAGGCAACGGUUUGCAAAACCGUUAUUCCCCGGUUCGAAUCCGGGAGGGCCCU